UCUUCAAAAAUGGUAAUUUGCUCCAUAGCGCCACCUACAAUAUUCAAUUAGGCAGCCCCAUUAGGCAGCCCCGGUGCUACGUUUGACCUACAUGUAUAACGCUGGGUAGGUAUAUGUAACACAAGUAGACGGAAAGAAAAGUCUCUUGGCACCAUGCUCUAAACUGUACCGGAUGUCGCCAAUAUUGAUUUCUGUUUCACUAUGUUUGUGCAAAGCUCAUCUCAUUUCCACAUACAGGUAUUCACCUGCGUUUCAUACUCCAGGCCAGCAGGUGGCGGUAAUGCACCAAAUAUAUGGAUGCAACUCGCUUUUAUACAUCAAGAAGCAGACGAACAAUAACACAGCGUGCUGACGCCGGCUGAUACUCCAGGCCAGCAGGUGGCGGUAAUGCACCAAAUAUAUUGAUGCAAACUGCUGUUUAGAGCAGAAGAAGUAUCACACUGCAGCUUUGCCGGCCUGGUCUGCAGUCUGCUCCGUCUGAGAUGACACUAUGGAGAUGUUUGGACUGCAGUAUAAUGAGCAUGGUUGCCCCCAGUUCCUGUGGACUGGGACCAGCACAGGACCAAGACUGCCCGACCUCCUCCAGAGCAGUGCAUCCACUGCACAGUCAUCGUAAUGGACGUGGCACUAAGGAGGAUUGUCCAGCCGCAGGUUUGUUAUGUUAUUGUGCUUUGAAGUUUAUGAAUCAUACCAGUA